GACGAACGCGGCGGCGUGCCUAAUACAUGCAAGUCGAGCGGACAGAUGGGAGCUUGCUCCCUGAUGUUAGCGGCGGACGGGUGAGUAACACGUGGGUAACCUGCCUGUAAGACUGGGAUAACUCCGGGAAACCGGGGCUAAUACCGGAUGGUUGUUUGAACCGCAUGGUUCAAACAUAAAAGGUGGCUUCGGCUACCACUUACAGAUGGACCCGCGGCGCAUUAGCUAGUUGGUGAGGUAACGGCUCACCAAGGCAACGAUGCGUAGCCGACCUGAGAGGGUGAUCGGCCACACUGGGACUGAGACACGGCCCAGACUCCUACGGGAGGCAGCAGUAGGGAAUCUUCCGCAAUGGACGAAAGUCUGACGGAGCAACGCCGCGUGAGUGAUGAAGGUUUUCGGAUCGUAAAGCUCUGUUGUUAGGGAAGAACAAGUACCGUUCGAA
rnacentral:rRNA from 1 species